GGGCGCAUGGGGUAGCUUGGAUAUCCUGUCGGGCUUCGGAUCCGACGACGCGGGUUCGAAUCCUGCUGCGCCCGC
rnacentral:tRNA from 1 species